rnacentral:rRNA from 1 species
ACACGACUACAUUAGAUACCCGGGUAGUCCUAGCCGUAAACGAUACUCGCUAGGUGUCGGCCACGGUGCGACCGUUGUCGGUGCCGUAGGGAAGCCGUGAAGCGAGCCACCUGGGAAGUACGGCCGCAAGGCUGAAACUUAAAGGAAUUGGCGGGGGAGCACAACAACGGGUGGAGCUUGCGGUUUAAUUGGAUUCAACGCCGAAAAACUCACCAGCAGCGACUGUUACAUGAAAGUCAGGUUGAUGACCUUACUAGAUUUUCAG